rnacentral:ncRNA from 1 species
CCAGGCUAGGGGUACAAGUCCUGCAGAAUUGCGUUCCACUGGACCUAAGCAACGACCUGAAAGGGUAGCGACGACGCCUGGCGUUAGAGGAGAGCGUACUGGACGCAGUGUCUCCUCUGACG